GAUGAAGAACGUAGCGAAAUGCGAUAAAUAAUGUGAAUUGCAGAAUUCAGUGAAUCAUCGAGUCUUUGAACGCACAUUGCGCCCCCUGGUAUUCCGGGGGGCAUGCCUGUCCGAGCGUCAUUGCUGCCCUCAAGCACGGCUUGUGUGUUGGGCCCCCGUCCCCCCCUCCCGGGGGACGGGCCCGAAAGGCAGCGGCGGCACCGCGUCCGGUCCUCGAGCGUAUGGGGCUUUGUCACCCGCUCUGUAGGCCCGGCCGGCGCCUGCCGACCACCAUCAAUCUUUUUUCAGGUUGACCUCGGAUCAGGUAGGGAUUCCCGCUGAACUUAAGCAUAUCAAUAAGCGGAGGA
rnacentral:misc_RNA from 1 species